rnacentral:rRNA from 1 species
UACGGAGGGUGCAAGCGUUGCUCGGAAUUAUUGGGCGUAAAGGGCAGGUAGGUGGUCUCAUUUGUCAGGGGUGAAAGCCUUGGGCUUAACUCAAGAAGUGCCCCUGAAACGGUGAGACUGGAGUGCUGGAGAGGGUCGUGGAAUUCCCGGUGUAGCGGUGAAAUGCGUAGAGAUCGGGAAGAACACCAGUGGCGAAGGCGGCCGGCUGGGGGCGCCCUGACGCUGAGGCGCGAGAGCGUGGGGAGCAAACCGG